rnacentral:rRNA from 1 species
GAUUAGAUCUCAGAUCAGGUAGGACUACCCG